ACGUACGGCCAUAGAUAAAGGAAAAUACGGGAUCCCGUCCGCUCUCCCCUAGUCAAACCUUUAAUCGGCGGAUUAGUAGUUGGGUCGGUG
rnacentral:rRNA from 1 species